ACAGAUUCAACUUCAAUUCUUCAAACACUUCUCGUCCAGUCUUCCGCCAUUAAUUCCGGCAAUCCUCUCUUCACCGGAUUAUUCAGAAGUUACUGAAGAGUAGAGUUUUAUGAUGGGCACAGAAGAGCCAAAAGAUCCACUGAAAGAUAUUGAGUGGAAAAGUAUGGCUGAGCCUUCACAUAGCGAGUCCGGUGUUGGACCGACAGUGAAGAAGAGACUCCCGAAGAAAAUUAGGCAAAUCCCGGAAUGUUAUUUUCUUCCUCGAUCGUCCUUACCAUCAGCUAUAGCUUUUUACGGGUCCUGUAUUGCUGCUGGGAUUGGGGCUGGGAUGCUGCUAGAAGUGUGGAUAAACAAGAAGAUCAAAGAGGAUGGUGGAGUGAUCUGGGAGUUUGACAAAUGAAUUUAUUCAUGUCUCUGCAUUCAUCUCCAAUAAGUUGCUGUUCUUUUGCUACCCAUAUUUUAUCAUUGUAUUUUUUGGCAAGCUCGUCGACAAUUUAUAGUUUAUUAUGGAAUAGCUUUCAUGUUUGUAUUGACACAAGUGCAUAAAUGGAUCAAUAUUAUCUCUAGUAUUAGUCAGGUCACCCCCUUGUUCCCUGUCUAAGAAUGUAUGGACAAGUUUCAAACAGAAUUGUAUUGUGAUCUCCUAAUCAAACCAUAUUAUCUUGCC